AACAGCCGCGGUAAUUCCAGCUCCAAUAGCGUAUAUUAAAGUUGUUGCAGUUAAAAAGCUCGUAGUUGAAUUUCGGGGUCAGUAGAUCGGUCAUGCCACUGGUAUGUACUGGUCUCACUGAUUCCUCCUUCCUGAUGAGCCGUAAUGCCAUUAAUUUGGUGUUGCGAGGAAUCUGGACUGUUACUUUGAAAAAUUAGAGUGUUUAAAGCAGGCUAACGCUUGAAUACAUUAGCAUGGAAUAAUGAAAUAGGACGUUCGAUCUUAUUUUGUUGGUUUCUAAGAUUGACGUAAUGAUUAAUAGGGAUAGUUGGGGGCAUUAGUAUUCAAUUGUCAGAGGUGAAAUUCUUGGAUUUAUUGAAGACUAACUACUGCGAAAGCAUUUGCCAAGGAUGUUUUCAUUAAUCAAGAACGAAAGUUAGGGGAUCGAAGACGAUCAGAUACCGUCGUAGUCUUAACCAUAAACUAUGCCGACUAGGGAUCGGAUGAUGUUAAUUUUUUAAUGACUCAUUC
rnacentral:rRNA from 1 species